CAACGAUGAAGAGUUUGAUCCUGGCUCAGGAUGAACGCUAGCGGCAGGCUUAACACAUGCAAGUCGAACGGUAACAGCAGAGCUUGCUCUGGCUGACGAGUGGCGCACGGGUGCGUAACGCGUAUACAAUCUACCUAUUACUGGGGUAUAGCCCAGAGAAAUUUGGAUUAAUCCCCCAUAGUAU
rnacentral:rRNA from 1 species